rnacentral:rRNA from 1 species
UACAGAGGGGGGCAAGCGUUAUUCGGAAUUAUUGGGCGUAAAGGGCGCGUAGGCGGCUUUUCAAGUGACGGGUGAAAUCCCUCGGCUUAACCGAGGAACUGCCUGUCAGACUGGAAGGCUUGAGACCGGGAGAGGUGAGUGGAAUUCCCCAGUGUAGCGGUGAAAAUGCGUAGAUAUUGGGAGGAACACCAGUGGCGAAGGCGGCUCACUGGACCGGAACUGACGCUGAGGCGCGAAAAGCGUGGGGAGCAAACAGG